AUGCCAAAGUUCACAUCAACAAACAGACCUUCCAAGAAAUCAGCAGUGAGAGGUGGCAGCCACAUUUCUGAAUCAGGCCAGUUUCAGUGUGUGAUAUGAUGGAAUUUCCUCUGCUUCAUCUUUACACAGAGGAAUACAGGACUCUGCAUGAGCUGGAUGAGCAGCGGGAGACCUUCGAGCUCCUCAGUCCUCUGCAGAGCCCAGGUCUGGACUCAGUGCCACGACGCGCUCUGGUGUCACUGAAUGAGGGUCUUCUGCUGUUGUUGCUCCACGUCUGACCUGUAGUCAGAGUCCUCAGGAACACAGCGGGUAGCGGUUCUCCCUGCCCUCUUCUCAUCUGGCUUGGCUUCUGGAGACAGCAGACCGCAUUGUCUUCCUUGCGGUGCAGAAUCAAGCCUUGCCUAGCAUAUGGAUUUGGUUUGAAUUGUUAACUGGAUUUGGCAAAAGUCUAAAAUGUAUUACAAAGACGUAAAACUGGGGUUUUGAAAGUGUUCUAUAUUGAAAUAUUUGUCUUUUAUAAAAACAUAUUGAAACGCUUA